GAUGAACGCUGGCGGCGUGCCUAAUACAUGCAAGUCGAGCGAACUGAUUAGAAGCUUGCUUCUAUGACGUUAGCGGCGGACGGGUGAGUAACACGUGGGCAACCUGCCUGUAAGACUGGGAUAACUUCGGGAAACCGAAGCUAAUACCGGAUAGGAGUUUCUCCUUCAUGGGAGAUGAUUGAAAGAUGGUUUCGGCUAUCACUUACAGAUGGGCCCGCGGUGGAUUAGCUAGUUGGUGAGGUAAUGGCUCUACAAGGCAACGAUGCAUAGCCGGCCUGUGAGGGUGAUCGGCCACACUGGGACUGAGACACGGCCCAGACUCCGACGGGAGGCAGCAGUAGGGAAUCUUCCGCGAUGGACGAAAGUAUGACGGAGCAACGCCGCGUGAGUGAUGAAGGCUUUCGGGUCGUAAAACUCUGUUGUUAGGGAAGAACAAGUACAAGAGUAACUGCUUGUACCUUGACGGUACCUAACCAGAAAGCCACGGCUAACUACGUGCCAGCCGCCGCCGUAACAC
rnacentral:rRNA from 1 species